rnacentral:rRNA from 1 species
GACGAACCACACGAACGUUAUUCGGAAUUACUGGGCUUAAAGGGUGCGUAGGCUGUGCGGAAAGUUAGGUGUGAAAUCCCCCGGCUCAACCGGGGAAUUGCGCUUAAAACUACCGUGCUAGAGGAAUACAGAGGUGAGCGGAACUUCGGGUGGAGCGGUGAAAUGCGUUGAUAUCCGAAGGAACACCGGUGGCGAAGGCGGCCACCUGGACGGAUACUGACGCUGAGACGCGAAAGCGUGGGGAGCAAACAGG